CUGAAGAUGGUAUUUAAGGUGGUGGCUUCGGCCAUUCUGGCGAGUUACUGUUCCCUGGGUUUCUCCCAUGCAUACAUGUUAUUAAACUUUGUUUGAUUUUCUCCUGUCAAUUUAAGUCUUAGACCAGCCAGAAGGACCUACAUGGUACAGGCAUAGUUCUUACCUCCCCUUCAGUUUUGGCUAUGAAGAUGGGACAAAACUUUACUGGCUGGAUGCUGCUUGCUCCUGGACUACUGCAGCUGAGAGAUCCUGGACCCUUGACAAGAACUGGGAGGAGGACACAAUUGGAAACAUUGGUUAUAUACACCAAGGCUUUGACUGGAAUGUCAUAUUUGACAGCAACAUGCAUAGACUCAGAUGACCAGACAACUUUGAGGAACAGAGAUUGGACUUUAUGGAAUAAAGCCACUUGGAAAUAUUGGCCUGGUACCUUGCUUUCAGUGUUCCUAGCAUCCUUACCAGGUGAGUAAAGAAAGUAAGUUCCCUGGCAGGUGCAAAGAACCUCAGGAUAUUCUGGGGAACCUCAAGAGAAGAGAGGAAUUCACCCAAAUCUGUAGGUAUUGCAGGCAGAGUCUGAUGAUAAGUCCUUGGCUUUGCUUGGCCUGACCUUGAGAGGCCUUUAAAGUUCAAUCUGAGAUUCCUUAUAAAAAGUUCCAGCAAAGCAGAUUUAAAAGAGCCUAUAUGAUCAAUUGCUAUUCUUGCAUACUUAUAUAAAUAAUUGGGCCAAGUUUAUUGAAAAUAGACUUAUUUUACUGACCAAUUAGUCUUAAUUUGGGUAUCUUUGGUAAAAACGAGGGUGAUUUUAGAGGGAAAAAUUAUGUUUUUAGUAGAAGCUAUUAUAUACAUACUUGUGGAUAUUAGAUUCUAGUUCUGUUAAUUGUCUUUGAGGUUUUUUUGUUUUCCACCCAUAAACCGUACUGGAUCCUGAAUUCUUCUAGAGUCCUGAAAUAUCUGGCUACAAAUCUCCAAACUAAUGUUUUCAAUUUUUUCCAUCAUUUUCAUUUGGAAUCGUUGAGAACUGAAACCACCCUUGUUCCUGAAGCCCUACAAACUGAAGCUGGACAACUUGAUAUAAACUCAAGAGAGAUCACCAUGAUAACAUGCCUGUACUGUGUAAGUGACUCAAAAAGAUAUCUGAACACCGAUGACAUCAUCAGAGACAUUUCAAACUGCAAAAGAUGCUUUGACCCUGACAUCUAGAAAUCUUGAUUGGCUGUCUCUUGGGCUCAGAAACUGGUUUAUAAUUUGCUCCAACCAUUAACCUUGUUUUUCUUUUUGUUUUUAUGAAAAUGGUUCUUAUUAAAUACCUGCUUGCUUGCUUACACAAUAUAGGCCUAACUUUGGGAGCUCACCUGCAUCACUGCCUCUUGAAAUGAAUUUAACUAGACUGAUGUAUCAUCAGGACUAAGAGACUGGUCCAAUGAGAUAGAACAAUCUACCAACUCAGCUUCUGGACUGUGAAACUUCUUAAAAUUUCAAAGGCUGGACUGUGGGGGAUCAGAAUUGGCCACCCCAAAAUGUGUGUCUUUGGCUUGAUUAUUUUUAAAGACUAACCUCUUACCUCUUAGAUACAGCAAAGCUGCUCCACACC